rnacentral:lncRNA from 1 species
UAUUGGAGUUAGGUGAUUUCAGCAUAUAGAAUUUUUUUCAUUUUAUAAAAACACAGCGGAAGGUAUAGAUUAAAACUUUAAUCUAUUGCAUGUCCUAGAUCACAUCUAAGAUCACCUAAAAAGGAUCUAACAUGCAUGAUAAAAUUAGAUUUAUAGAUCUGAAAAUAGAAAUAAGAGGAUCGCUAUCCUCUUACAAGCCGGAUCUGGAUUGAAUCCUGGUUCUGUUUGUAGCCACGCAU